AACGAACGCUGGCGGCAUGCCUAACACAUGCAAGUCGAACGGGCAGUAGCAAUACUGUCAGUGGCGGACGGGUGAGUAACGCGUGGGAACCUACCCCGAAGUUCGGAAUAACCGCGGGAAACUGCGGCUAAUACCGGAUGUGGCCUGAGGGCCAAAGGAGCAAUCCGCUUUGGGAGGGGCCCGCGUCCGAUUAGCUAGUUGGUAGGGUAACGGCCUACCAAGGCGACGAUCGGUAGCUGGUCUGAGAGGAUGAUCAGCCACACUGGAACUGAGAUACGGUCCAGACUCCUACGGGAGGCAGCAAUGGGGAAUAUUGGACAAUGGGGGAAACCCUGAUCCAGCAAUGCCGCGUGGGUGAUGAAGGCCUUCGGGUUGUAAAGCCCUUUUGGCGGGGACGAUGAUGACGGUACCCGCAGAAUAAGCCCCGGCUAACUUCGUGCCAGCAGCCGCGGUAAUACGAAGGGGGCUAGCGUUGUUCGGAAUUACUGGGCGUAAAGGGCGCGUAGGCGGCUUGGCGAGUCGGGCGUGAAAGGCCUGGGCUUAACCCGGGAAUUGCGCUCGAUACUGUCGGGCUUGAGUGUGGGAGAGGAUGGUGGAAUUCCCAGUGUAGAGGUGAAAUUCGUAGAUAUUGGGAAGAACACCGGUGGCGAAGGCGGCCAUCUGGACCACUACUGACGCUGAGGCGCGAAAGCGUGGGGAGCAAACAGGAUUAGAUACCCUGGUAGUCCACGCUGUAAACGAUGCGUGCUAGACGUUGGGGGGCUUGCCCUUCAGUGUCGCAGCUAACGCGAUAAGCACGCCGCCUGGGGAGUACGGCCGCAAGGUUAAAACUCAAAGGAAUGAC
rnacentral:rRNA from 1 species